AUUGAACGCUGGCGGCAUGCCUUACACAUGCAAGUCGAACGGCAUCGCGGGAAAGCUUGCUUUCCUGGCGGCGAGUGGCGAACGGGUGAGUAACACAUCGGAACGUACCGGCUAGUGGGGGAUAACCCGUCGAAAGACGGGCUAAUACCGCAUACGCUCUUCGGAGGAAAGCAGGGGACCUUUGGGCCUUGCGCUAGUCUAGCGGCCGAUGUCCGAUUAGCUAGUUGGUGGGGUAAAGGCCUACCAAGGCGACGAUCGGUAGCGGGUCUGAGAGGACGAUCCGCCACACUGGGACUGAGACACGGCCCAGACUCCUACGGGAGGCAGCAGUGGGGAAUCUUGGACAAUGGGGGCAACCCUGAUCCAGCAAUGCCGCGUGGGUGAAGAAGGCCUUCGGGUUGUAAAGCCCUUUCGGCAGGGAAGAAAUCGGCGGGGCGAAUAACCCUGCUGGAUGACGGUACCUGCAGAAGAAGCACCGGCUAACUACGUG
rnacentral:rRNA from 1 species